AACGCACAUUGCGCCCCUUGGUAUUCCAUGGGGCAUGCCUGUUCGAGCGUCAUUUGUACCCUCAAGCUUUGCUUGGUGUUGGGCGUUUGUCCCGCGUUGCGCGUGGACUCGCCUUAAAGCGAUUGGCAGCCGGCAUAUUGGCCUUGGAGCGCAGCACAUUUUGCGCUUCUAGUCAUGAAUGUUGGCAUCCAUUAAGCCUAUACAUUUGCUCUUGACCUCGGAUCAGGUAGGGAUACCCGCUGAACUUAA
rnacentral:misc_RNA from 1 species